GAUGAACGCUAGCGGCAGGCUUAACACAUGCAAGUCGAGGGGCAGCGUGAGGGUUAGCAAUAACCCUUGACGGCGACCGGCGCAAGGGUGCGUAACGCGUGAGCAACUUGCCCCUAUCAGGGGGAUAACCGGUGGAAACGCCGACUAAUUCCCCAUAGUAUUGAUUCCAGGCAUCUGUUAUCAAUUAAAGAAUUUCGGAAACGGAUAGGCUCGCGUGACAUUAGCUAGAUGGCGGGGUAACGGCCCACCAUGGCGACGAUCAGUAGCCGGUCUGAGAGGAUGAACGGCCACAUUGGGACUGAGAUACGGCCCAGACUCCUACGGGAGGCAGCAGUGGGGAAUAUUGGGCAAUGGACGCAAGUCUGACCCAGCAACGCCGCGUGAAGGAAGAAGGCUUUCGGGUUGUAAACUUCUUUUACCAGGGACGAAGAACGUGACGGUACCUGGAGAAAAAGCAACGGCUAACUACGUG
rnacentral:rRNA from 1 species